AUUGAACGCUGGCGGCAUGCCUUACACAUGCAAGUCGAACGGCAGCAUGAUCUAGCUUGCUAGAUUGAUGGCGAGUGGCGAACGGGUGAGUCAUACAUCGGAACGUGCCCUGUAGUGGGGGAUAACUAGUCGAAAGAUUAGUUAAUACCGCAUACGACCUGAGGGUGAAAGUGGGGGACCGCAAGGCCUCAUGCUAUAGGAGCGGCCGAUGUCUGAUUAGCUAGUUGGUGAGGUAAAGGCUCACCAAGGCGACGAUCAGUAGCUGGUCUGAGAGGACGAUCAGCCACACUGGGACUGAGACACGGCCCAGACUCCUACGGGAGGCAGCAGUGGGGAAUUUUGGACAAUGGGCGAAAGCCUGAUCCAGCAAUGCCGCGUGUGUGAAGAAGGCCUUCGGGUUGUAAAGCACUUUUGUCCGGAAAGAAAUGGCUCUGGUUAAUACCUGGGGUCGAUGACGGUACCGGAAGAAUAAGGACCGGCUAACUACGUG
rnacentral:rRNA from 1 species